CCCUUAGAUGUUCUGGGCAGCACGCGCGCUACAAUGGUCUUCGCAAACGGAUGCAUUCUCGAAGGAGAAUGCCAAUCUUGGAAUCUAUGCUUGGUCGGGACAGUUGCUUGCAAUUUUUCGACUCGAACCAGGAAUUCCUUGUAAUCGUGAUUCAUUACAUCACGAUGAAUACGUCCCUGCCCUUUGUACACACCGCCCGUCGCUCCUACCGAUUGAAUGUUCCGAUGAAUACCAUGGACUGAGAGUAUGAAUGGGUUCGCUUAUUUCUGCUUCUCGGGAAGUGGAGUAAAUCUUAACAUUUAGAGGAAGGAGAAGUCGUAACA
rnacentral:rRNA from 1 species